rnacentral:rRNA from 1 species
AUUGAACGCUGGCGGAAUGCUUUACACAUGCAAGUCGAACGGCAGCACGGACUUCGGUCUGGUGGCGAGUGGCGAACGGGUGAGUAAUGUAUCGGAACGUGCCCAGUCGUGGGGGAUAACGUAGUGAAAAUUACGCUAAUACCGCAUACGAUCUAUGGAUGAAAGCGGGGGAUCGCAAGACCUCGCGCGAUUGGAGCGGCCGAUAUCAGAUUAGGUAGUUGGUGGGGUAAAGGCCCACCAAGCCAGCGAUCUGUAGCUGGUCUGAGAGGACGACCAGCCACACUGGAACUGAGACACGGUCCAGACUCCUACGGGAGGCAGCAGUGGGGAAUUUUGGACAAUGGGCGAAAGCCUGAUCCAGCCAUUCCGCGUGCAGGAUGAAGGCCCUCGGGUUGUAAACUGCUUUUGUACAGAACAAAAAGGUUUCUACUAAUACUAGGAGCUCAUGAAGGUACCGUAAGAAUAAGCACCGGCUAACUCCGUGCCAGCAGCCGCCGUAA